CCAUGAUUGGGAUAAUUCUUUGUUCCUAGCCUUGUACCAUCUUGGUCCAUUCCAGUCCUGCUCCUGCUUUUCCUUAUUCUAGGUGUAUAAAACGACUAUGUCUCACAAUCCCCAUUGCUUCACAAGCCUUUAAGAGCAUGCAGCAUG